rnacentral:rRNA from 1 species
AGAGUUUGAUCCUGGCUCAGAACGAACGCUGGCGGCAGGCUUAACACAUGCAAGUCGAACGGGCUCUUCGGAGCUAGUGGCAGACGGGUGAGUAACGCGUGGGAACCUACCUAUAAGUACGGAACAACACAGAGAAAUUUGUGCUAAUACCGUAUGUGGUCUUCGGAUUAAAGAUUUAUCGCUUAUAGAUGGGCCCGCGUUAGAUUAGCUAGUUGGUGAGGUAAUGGCUCACCAAGGCGACAAUCUAUAGCUGGUCUGAGAGGAUGAUCAGCCACACUGGGACUGAGACACGGCCCAAACUCCUACGGGAGGCAGCAGUGAGGAAUAUUGGACAAUGGGGGCAACCCUGAUCCAGCCAUGCCGCGUGAGUGAUGACGGCCUUAGGGUUGUAAAGCUCUUUCGCUAGGGAAGAUAAUGACGGUACCUAGUAAAGAAGCCCCGGCUAACUUCGUGCCAGCAGCCGCGGUAAUACGAAGGGGGCUAGCGUUGUUCGGAAUCACUGGGCGUAAAGCGCGCGUAGGCGGACUUUUAAGUCAGGGGUGAAAUCCCGGGGCUCAACCUCGGAACUGCCUUUGAUACUGGAAGUCUUGAGUUCGAGAGAGGUGAGUGGAAUACCGAGUGUAGAGGUGA